UACAGAGGUCUCAAGCGUUGUUCGGAUUCAUUGGGCGUAAAGGGUGCGUAGGCGGCGGGGCAAGUCGGAUGUGAAAUCUCAGGGCUCAACCCUGAAACUGCAUUCGAUACUGCCUUGCUCGAGGACUGGAGAGGAGAUUGGAAUUCACGGUGUAGCAGUGAAAUGCGUAGAUAUCGUGAGGAAGACCAGUGGCGAAGGCGGAUCUCUGGACAGUUCCUGACGCUGAGGCACGAAGGCCAGGGGAGCAAACUGG
rnacentral:rRNA from 1 species